GGGCUAAUGGUUUAAUGGUAUAAUAAUCCCUUAGCAUGGGAGUGGUUCGAGGUUCUAUUCCCCGUCAGUCCA